GCUGGCUUUAAUCAUGUUGGUAGUCUCACAUUGUUAGACCUUCCUCCACAGCGCUCCGGAGAAGGGUCUGGCUAGUCCACUCAGCAUUGCGGGAUGGAAACAACGUGGCC